rnacentral:lncRNA from 1 species
UUCAAAGGAACACGAUCUCUGCGACCAUGUUCAGCUCGAGUAUGCCCAACAAUGGGCGUAGCCGGCGACAAGUGGUUGGCGCGCCUGAGACAAGCAGGUUUGAUAUUUCCGGGAGAAGGUAAUGGCAGAGCGAUCAGGUAAAAUGUUGGAUCGCGAUUCCCUUCACGAAUCCCGUCGGAAAUGGAGUUGCCGAUCGUCGCGUCUCUCUCGUCGGCUACACGUUGUCGCCAUGCGAUGGUCGGCAGCGUCGCCUUCUCAGGAGCUGGCCUGGUGGUCGCGGCCGUUGCUCCCUGAACGGCGGAGACCAAGGAAGCAAGGGAUCUCAUUUUAUUGCUUCACUAUUCUAUAGAUCAAGAGGGUGCUGGUGUCGGAUCGGUUGGCCAGCGAUAGCGAAAGCGUUGCGCACCCUCCGGUGUACGGGCAGGCGGCGGGAGCGGGCUUAGUUUUCAACGGCAGUCGGCUGUGUAGAAGAGUGCGGCGGC